rnacentral:rRNA from 1 species
UACAGAGGUCUCAAGCGUUGUUCGGAUUCAUUGGGCGUAAAGGGCGCGUAGGCGGCACGGCAAGUCAGGAGUGAAAGCCCUGGGCUCAACCCGGGAACUGCUUUUGAAACUGCCGAGCUAGAGUGCGGAAGGGGCAACUGGAAUUCCCAGUGUAGCGGUGAAAUGCGUAGAUAUUGGGAAGAACACCUGAGGCGAAGGCGGGUUGCUGGGCCGACACUGACGCUGAUGCGCGAAAGCCAGGGGAGCGAACGGG